rnacentral:rRNA from 1 species
UACAGAGGUCCCAAGCGUUGUUCGGAUUCACUGGGCGUAAAGGGUGCGUAGGUGGUGAGGUAAGUCGGAUGUGAAAUCUCCGGGCUCAACCCGGAAACUGCAUUGGAAACUACCUUGCUUGAGGAUUUGAGGGGGGAUUGGAAUACUUGGUGUAGCAGUGAAAUGCGUAGAUAUCAAGUGGAACACCAGUGGCGAAGGCGAAUCCCUGGAAAAUACCUGACACUGAGGCACGAAAGCUAGGGGAGCAAACAGG